AACAACGAAUCAAUCAGUCAUUGCUUGUAACACUAUGAGAAUUGCUACUUUAUUUGAAUCAAUCUACAAGAUUUCACUAAUUAAAGAAAAAGCUUGAGAUACAAAGUCACUCCUCUUUGCUUCCAUUAGUGUAUUUUGUUAUCUUACCUUAAAUCUGAACAAGACAGUUUUCUCCAGCAUAAGGAGAAGCCAUAAUGAUGAGUGUCACAAAAGGAAGUAACAUUUUCAAAUCGUUCAUUCUCUUUUCCUUGUCCAUGAGUCUUCCAUUCUCUCCACUGUUCCAGGAUGCAGCUCAAACUGGUGUGCAGCAUGUCCUUCUACAUGUAUCCCUUUGACGUCCAGCAAUGCACCGUCUUUAUCAAGAGCUUUAGCUAAAAUGAACUGCUACAACGUCACUGCGGCGAGAUUACCUAAACGUUUCUAUAUCUCAAAAAAAAAAGUCUGCGGCGCCCUCUAGAAUCUCUGCCACUGAAAUCAAUGAGACACGCAAGAGAAAAGCCGAGAUGGUUGGCCGCUUGGGAUUACCGGUCUGUUUCCUGCUGUUCAACCUCGCCUACUGGCCUUCCUACCUGACCCCGAGCCUCUACGCCCUCGAUUCAGCCGCCCACCACUGUGUGCGGCGCCCUCUUGUCGCGUUUGUGAGGUGAAAAGUAUUAAAUCGUGCUACAUAUGUUCCAAACUACCGGAUUUUUAUUUACGGUCAUGAAGAGUUUUGAAUUUUAUACUCAAAAAGAAAGCUCUGCUGUGUAUUUUCAAUAAACUAUACAAUCAUGCAGUUUUC